rnacentral:rRNA from 1 species
CUUGAAAGCUGGCGGCAGGCUUAACACAUGCAAGUCGAGCGGCGCGGCGGACGGGUGAGUAAGGCCUAUGAAUCUGCCUGGUCGUGAGGGAUCAAUUCCUGAAAGGGACGCUAACUCCGCAUACUAUCAUAUGAGCCUCCGUCUUAUUAGCUAGUUGGUGGGGUAAAGGCCUACCAAGUCGACGAUCCGUCACUGGUCUGAGAGGAUGAUCAGUCACACUGAAACUGAGACACGGUCCAGACUCCUACGGGAGGCAGCAGUGGGGAAUAUGGGACAAUGGGCGAAAGCCUGAUCCAGCCAUGCCGCGUGUGUGAAGAAGAUCUUCGGAUUGUAAAGCACUUUAAGUUGGGAGGCGUUACCAACAGAAGAAGCACCGGCUAACUCCGUGCCAGCAGCCGCGGUAAUUC